GUUGAUGAUGGAGAGUGUACUAAUGGUAGUGAGAUGAUGAUGAGGAAGGUGCCAACACUUGGAGAACUAAUCAUGAUGAGUAGAAGAAGAAGCUGCAGAAGGAAAGCACUUCACAUGAACUGGGAUCAUAAUCCACCUAAGGAAAUGAGAAGAAAGGAAGAUUUUGGAUGCUUCAACUUUGUACGUGGCAACAUAGUUGAGGGACUAUUUAAGAUAAGCUACUUGCCGAGAAUGAAACUAGUCAAGGCAAGCUAGGGGACGAUGAUAAUAGAGCCAAAGCUCACAAUAUAAUUUCUAUUUUAAUACUUAAAUACACGUUUUGGGUUUCAGUUUGU